ensembl:snoRNA
CUGCACGGUCUAGUGACCGGUCUGCCUUCCCCCUGGCUGCCCAGUCUCACUCCAGUGCCGACUAACCUUGGUCAGCAGAAGGACUGGGCCGCAACACUGGCCGUUCCCUUUCGAAGGCCGAGCACACAC